CCCGCACAAGCGGUGGAGUAUGUGGUUUAAUUCGAUGCAACGCGAAGAACCUUACCUGGUCUUGACAUCCCGGAGACCCUUAGGAAACUAGGGGGUGCUUCCAUCUGGAAGAAUCUGGAGACAGGUGCUGCAUGGCUGUCGUCAGCUCGUGUCGUGAGAUGUUGGGUUAAGUCCCGCAACGAGCGCAACCCUUGCCUUUAGUUGCCAGCAGUUCGGCUGGGCGCUCUAAAGGGACUGCCGGUGUUAAACCGGAGGAAGGUGGGGAUGACGUCAAGUCCUCAUGGCCUUUAUGACCAGGGCUACACACGUACUACAAUGGCCGAUACAAAGGGCAGCGACACUGCGAGGUGAAGCCAAUCCCGUAAAAUCGGUCUCAGUCCGGAUUGGAGUCUGCAACUCGACUCCAUGAAGUUGGAAUCGCUAGUAAUCGUGGAUCAGCAUGCCACGGUGAAUACGUUCCCGGACCUU
rnacentral:rRNA from 1 species